UCAUUUAUAGUACAAUACCUUGCCACACAGGGCUAAAAGUCUCAGGUAGGCUUCUCACAUGUUUGCCAAAUUAUUACAUUUCCUAACACCGGAGUUCCAACUAGCCGUACUAGAUAGAUGAUGAUAAAAUAGUUUCUGGAUUACAUAGCUAGAUCAUAGUUACUUAUUCAUCCCAACCCCCAUAUGUGGCAUCCAGAUCGUACAUAGCACUAGAUGGAUCCACAUCUAGGUCCCCUGUGUAGUUGUAUCCAUCACCAUUGCUCUCCUCAUUUGGUCCAGUAGGAUUCUCAUACAAGCUUUGCUCUAAGAAAAAGAUGAUUAAUAGCAAGAGUGAGUACAAAGUACUCAACAAGCUCAAAUAGCAAAAUGCAACACUCAUGAUGGCUCAAUAUAAAUCAACAAGUCCUACCUCAACUCAACACCUUUCAAAAUAAACAUUUGUUGCAGAAGUUCAUUUCAAUUUAUAAAAGCUAUCAAACACUCAUACUGCGAGAUAGACCACCAAUAGGUCCCCGUAGUCUCCAAUCCACGAGACUGGCAUGAAUUCAUGUUUUACUUUAACUCUGCUGACUUUGUAUCACUUUACCCAUAGAGCUCGAAACCAUAAUUGCCAUCUGCAUUUCCUUAGAUGCGAGACAUGGUUCAGAACCUAAGCUUUUUUCCCAUUUGUAUAUUAUAUCUCCACCCGGCUAGUGGUCACUAGCCGUUGUGUCGGGUUUUCGGAACCCGCACUCCACCAACGCUUAAUAUAUAGAGCGCUUGCUAAUGCACCCAUCCGGCAUUAGCGUGGGAACUCAUCGCCCAUCCUACUACUACUUACCCAUGUGGAGAGUAUAAUAACUUGAUGGUAUUGGGCUCAACUCGUCUUAGACGAGACCAUGGUUGAUACGUUGUAGUACGGCGCAUAAAAUGAGUGAAAGUUAUUUAAUCUUAAUAUACUAGCCAUAUGUAGAGGGCCCCACCUUCCAGUAUGUCCAUCCAGGGCACCCUCUACCCACCAAAUAAUUAUAAAAAUAAAUCAAUCAAUGAAUUAGCUGCUCCAUCAGCUAACCCAACUCUUUGUCAACAGUCACUCCACACAAUUUAUUACCAAAACAUUUUAUGCAAGUUGAUGAUAAGAUAGUAGAGAAUAGUGUUUUUUUUCUUUAGAAAAACAGUUCUACUCAGCAUGAUCGAGGAGAGCUUGCCUGAGUUUUCGUACUCAGAUCCGGACUCGAUCUGCUUCUGUAGCGCCUCCUUCUCCGGACUAUACUCGCUUCCUGCAGUUCGGCAAAUAUAUAUAUUUCGAGACUAAGUCGAGUGAAUACUAGGGAAAUAAAUAUAUAUACGUCGGUGCAGUGUGGUCAUCCUACAGUCAAAUAUUAUUAUACCAGAUAUUUGAUAUGCAUCAGUGUAUUGUGUACUGGGUAGCUAGCAUUAUUGAGAUGGCAUCUAACUAGCUAAUUAGUACUAAUAUCCUGAGAGUGUACGUGACAUUUCAGCUUAGGCUAAGUGGCUCUUUCUCUCUCCUAGUACUAGUACUAGUACAAGUUCUGAACCGAACGAGCAGUCCAGUUGUAUUAGUCAGUAGCACACGCUGAUGCCCUCCUCUGGUUCCUCUGCUCCUUGCCCAGAUCGAUGGCGCCACCAGCGACGGGAAAGAUGCCGCUGCAAGAUCCUCCACACUCUCUCUCCCCUGAUGUGAAUCCCCAUAUUAUCCCAUGAAUUUCAGCCUCAACUCUCUAAUCCCCCUGUGUGUGUGUUCUUUUUGGCUUGCAGGUCAAACCCUAUUGGGGAUGUGAUUCCCCCGCUCCAGAUUGAAGUGGUCGGCGUUGGUGGCCGCCGUGAUGCUGGAUGGUGCAGGUCAGACCUCCAGUGCGUGGCCAUGGAGCAGAUCGAACAUAUGUGCAGGUUAGUGGUGCCCUUGUUCCUCUCCCUAUUUUUUUUUAUGCUCAAGUUCUCAGAUUUAGUAAAUUAAUUUAGUCUCAUGUGCAUGUGUGUGUACUGAACAAGUUCCUCCUGUGCAAGACGUUUGUGUACUGAUGAUGUACAUUAUCUUGCUCCAUUUUAUUUUACUUGAUUAAGGCAUUAUCCAUGUUUUUUUUACUGUUGAUUUCAAGAACUGAGUUCAAUGCUACUACUGUGAUUUUUGUGCAUCUGUGAAGAACUAGCGAGAAAUAUUGAAUGUGCUACUGUGCAAAAUUUCUUUCUAUAUGUGAGAACUAGAAGAUGGCAAGAAGAACUCACCUUUCUUCCUUUGCCCUCUCUGCUGGCCCUACUCCAGCUGCUCCUACGUUCAGACUCCACCCCUCUAGGCUAGCUUCUAGCUCCAGCCUGUCCCCUUCGGUCUACUGCUGAUUGCUCAUGUCACCAUCCUCACUUGUUGUUCUUGGAUCUUUGUUGGUUGCAGGUAGAGAGAUGAAGACAGUGGGGGGAAGACAAGCUGCUGGUUUGGCUAUUUGGGGAAGAAUGGAGACGUGUGAAGUCUUUGCAAUGGCUUGCUCUGCUCUCUCUUCUUUUGAUAUCAGAAAACCAUCUUCCUUGGCUGGUAUGGCUGCCCAUCCCCUUCUCCAUUGUUCUCACAGGUGCUAGCUUCUAAUUGGCUGAAGGUUGAAGCCCAUACAUAGACUAUACUGUUGACCCAUUGACUAUUAAUCUAUUGUGCACGUGAGAGUGGUGGUCAGUGUGUGUCUCAAAUGUGUCCUGCUAUUCUGGUUGACCCAGAGAUAUUUUUGGGUUUGUCUAAGUUUGGUGUGGCAUUGUUGUAUAGAUUAGCAUAGUCUGGUCUCCCUACAUUUUCUUUUUCCAAAGAUUUGUAAUACACUUGUACAGCUGUACUGUUGGAGGUGUAUAUAUAUUUAUUUAUAUAUUUAUAUUUAUAUAUAUAUUUGACUGAUUAUGCUUGUUGAAGAAAUCUGAGAUGGAUUUGC
rnacentral:lncRNA from 1 species